rnacentral:rRNA from 1 species
UACGGGGGGGGCAAGCGUUGUUCGGAAUUACUGGGCGUAAAGGGCUCGUAGGCGGCCAACUAAGUCAUACGUGAAAUCCCUCGGCUUAACCGGGGAACUGCGUCUGAUACUGGAUGGCUUGAGAUUGGGAGAGGGAUGCGGAAUUCCAGGUGUAGCGGUGAAAUGCGUAGAUAUCUGGAGGAACACCGGUGGCGAAGGCGACAUCCUGGACCGGUAUUGACGCUGAGGCGCGAAAGCCAGGGGAGCAAACGGG